AACAAAAAAAAGUGCCACACGCUGUACUGACAGAGCCAGCCAGGCACCCCAAAUUUCUGUGUGGUUUUUGUUUUUUAAACCACAGGGUUUGUGGUGCUUUGUUACAGCAGCCACAGGAAACUAAUGCACACUCGUUUGUUUGGGGGAUUAUCACGCAACCAGUAAAUCUGGCUACACGGCAACUGAACCGAAGCAGAACGAUGGUGAGCGGUCAGCAUUAUCAUGCUUUUCAGGCUGUCCUGUUUCCUCCCCUUGGAGCCCCCUGUGGAGCACAUGCUGUUAUUAUCCUGACUUCACAGGCAAACAAACUAAGGCAAUGCUGUAGGUAACUCGCCAAGGUCACCGGCGGGCAGGUGGGAGUGCCCUAAGUGGCAGCCUUCCUAGGCCCCCGAAGUCAGGUGAUGGGAAGAGUGUGAAGUCUAUUGGCCGAGCAGCAGCAGGAGGUUGGGCACUGAACCAAAAACGGGAGGACGAAAGCGUGUCACCUUAACCCUGUGAAGGGCCCGCCUUCUCCCCUGGGCCAGAAUUGUCCAGAGGAAGCCAUGGCACGCCCACCUGACAGAAUGGUGUGCACCCAUCGAAGACGGCCUUCUGAAGCCUGUAGCAUCAUGGGAAAGGAUGACGUCACCAAGCGAACAACGCUCCCUGCAGAAUUGCCUCUGUGCAGGGUCGCCCCCCUGGCAGUGUUAUGUGUGCACGUGGGUGUAGCAGGAGGGGACUCUUGAGCCACGUGGCUCUCCACACCGUCUCUGGUCAGAUGUCCUUGCCUUUAAGCAUGCCCAAGUUGAUGGCCCGGGGCUGGUCACCUGGCCCCAGGUUCGCCAGCCAGCGGUUCCCUUAGGAAUACAGAGUAAUGAUUCCUCGGGUGCCUGGAGCUUGGGUGCUGUGCACUCACGCGAGGGAGCUGUGGGUCGCUUACGCUGCUCAAAAGGACUGAAGCCAUCAGAGAAGCUGCUGUGCAGAGACAGAGACUGAGAAUCAGGAAGCAGAUGUACAGAGAGGAAGAGACAGUCACAGGCUGAAAGAAGAAAACCAGCCACCAUGCUUGCUGUUGAGAAACCCCAGCCCUGGGGGAUGGCCCAGUCUGUGGCUGAAUAUUCUACUGGACAGGAGUUCAUGGCAGUGUUUGUUGGGUCAAUGACAUGACCCAAAACAAAACUGACAGCCAACUAGCUAAGCUUCUGUGGGAAUUGAAACUCCAGGAAACCCUAAAACCUGGCAAACUGGGGCUUGUGAUGGCUUACCCUCUGGGUGAUUCCUAAGCCCACAUCCCAGCACCAACGUGAAGCAGGUUCCCGGGUAGCUGUGUCCCCUCCUAGAACAAGGUGUCCCAAGAAUCUCUCAAGGGCAGGUCUGCAAGACCCCAGAGAAGGGAUCCCUUCCCAGUGGGCAGGACCGGGGGCAGCCAUGUUUGCCGACGAAGAAGCCGAGGAAGGUAACCAGUAAAGCAAACCCCGUGAAUAUCUUGUUCCUGAGGUUCAAUUUACUCCUCCUGGCUAGAAGACCAGGGUGUGUUCUCUGUAUCUUCCUUCCCUUUUCUGCUCUAGAGAUCAAGCACGGAAGGAGACGUUAAACUGAUCGUUUAGCCUAUAGAUUGAGACAGAUCCAAGGAGCCACCUUAGAUGAGACUCCGUAGAAAUAGGCAGGACCGGGUGUCAGCUGAAGAUCCCGGCUCUGAGAAUGGAGCCCUGGACGCGAUAGUUGGACCUGACUUGGAUCGCCUCCCAUUUGGCAGGGAGACGAGAUAUUUGCGGUGGACUUUGUGGUAUAACGAUUAAGCAAGACCAAUCAGAAUGGAGAUAUCUGGGGAAAGCCGAAGGAAUUAGCGUGUGUGUGUGUGUGUGUGUGUGUGUGUGUGAUGGAGAGUGGAUGCUCUUGGCUGUCCAUCUGGCCCCCUUUUCUCGUAGCCCUUCCUCGCUUUGUCAUGACAGAAAUGUAGCAUAUAAACUUGACCACUGGCCAUAACCGAUUCCUGCUUCCCGGGGUUUGGGACCCGGACAUAGUUCUCUCUGGGAGAAGGGAUCCAGGCCACAUCAGCGUGGCAGGUGGGACGCAGGCGGGCAAAUGGGACAGGCAAGCAAGCGGUGCUGAGAAAGAAUCCAAGAGCUCUGAGUGCCCGUGCUCCAAACUGGGCUGCGUGUCCGGGCUCCAUGAGAACAUCCUGUGCCUUUGCUAUAAAGUCUCCUUUCCUGCUUGAGCGGUCAGCGACUGAUUUCUGAUUCUUGGGGUCACUCAUUUGCUGGGACAGCGACCUACCCUGGGGCAUGGGCUCGGCUGCGGCUGGAGAACAAACUUAAGACAUCUAAUAAUCAAGAGAGCCAACUGGACUAGCCCCCUGGGGUUAUCUCCCACCACCUCCCCCCGCCCUUCAUGCUGCACCAAGGGCUGCGACUUGUGGCUCCGGACCACCCCAAGCUCCCUGACUCUGGGCCUUUGCUCAUGCUGUUCCCUUUGCCUGGACUGCCCUUCCCAACUGUUCCUCUUGCCCUCUCUGCCUCUUUCCUUGCCUGGCCGGUUGGCACAGAUAUCGCCCACGUGGCCCCUGUCUAGAAGGGUCUUUGUUCCAGGCUGCAGCAUCCCCCACUGUAGCACUCGGUCUGCUCAGUUCCGACUGCCAGGGUGCUGGCUGCUCCUCAGAGCGGGGCCUCCGCGUGGAUCGGGCUGGCAUCCCGGCGUGAGCUCGGUGUCGGCACCCAGAGUGUUACAAGUGAGUCUGUAGAAGUGUGGGAUGAAUGAAUGAAUGAGCCAGUCAUGGCUGGACAGGCUUUGCCCAGCAGAAGGGUCAGGGGUCUGCAGCCAAGGGAGAGGAAGGACAAAGGUCCUGGUCCUACCAGCGUGGGAACAGCUCCUUCCUUUCCUUCCAGCAGGCGCCCAACACCCAGGGACUGGGAGCCAGAUGCUCAGAGGCUUGACAGCCUCAGGGAGUCCAGACUCACCUUCCAGAGCGGCCCCUCCACCCCUCAUGUCACCAGACAUGGGGGUUCAGCCUGGAUCGGUCCAUCCGUAGGUUCUGCUCCCACGUCUAGGAAAAAGCACUGCUUCCAGAAUGAGGAUGGGAAGGAGGGCGCCUCUGCUCCUCCCAUCUGGCAGCCGCACCCCCCCACGCCCCCCCCACCCCGGCUUCCCCCACCAGCCUCCCAACCUCCGCUGCUGCCUGUGCUCCGAGCUGGAGACCACAGAGCCCAGAGCCUGGCAGCUGGAUGGCGCAACGCAUGGAAUACGCUGCUCUCCCCAGCUUCCUGAGGCCCCCACCCCUGGGAUCCUCCGCCCCCCAGGGCUCCUUCCCCCAGCGGGCUUCGGCCUUCACCUUCACCUUCACCUCUCCACCCCCCAGCGUGCGCUGACGAAAGGGCAAUGGUGCAAAAUUCGUUGGGGAGAAAAACAGGAAGUGGAGCCUGAGAGCAAGGCUGCAGAAACGCUCCCCGGGCGUUGGCCGCCCUUCCACCCGCAGCCUUACAGGAAAGUGGUGAGGGGGCAGCCCCAGCCCGGGCUGUGGGGGCGUGGGGUGAGGGUGCUGGUGGGAGAGUCCAGGAAAGACCCUUCCGCUGUAUUUUUAGGGGCUGUGUCUUGUAGAGCAAAUGCUACAUCUGUGUCCUGCACUUGACAUCUCCUCUCACCUGUUCACAGCGGCUCCUCAAGAGUCGCAGAUGGAGCCCCCCAGGCCCACGGAACCUGGCCACCCGUACAGAAGGCACCGCGGCCCCCCACUCCCCAUCUCUGAGGUCGAAACCACAAUGUCGUGCUGUGGCCUUCACUCACCCGUCACGACAGGGGUCCCUUUCCCAGAAGCCUCUGGGGCUGCCAGACCACAGCAGAAGCCAGCUCAUGAUCUCACCGUUGGUGGAUUUGAGCCCCACACUGGGCUCCGUAUUGACAAUGCAGAGCCUGCUUGGGAUUCUCUCUCCCCCCCUCUCUCU